GCUUACGGCCAUACCACCCUGAAUGCGCCCGAUCUCGUCUGAUCUCGGAAGCUAAGCAGGGUCAGGCCUGGUUAGUACUUGGAUCGGUGACCGCCUGGGAAUACCAGGGGCUGUAAGCU
rnacentral:rRNA from 1 species